AGGAGAUGGUAGUGGGUUACUGGAACUUACUAACAUUAGUGUCAGUAAAGUUGGUAUUCAACGCCCCACUGAUAAAUUUGACUGGCUUAAA
rnacentral:sRNA from 1 species